rnacentral:misc_RNA from 1 species
AAAUGAUAAACGUCUCUCGCGAUGUCGGCCACGUUUUCGCUAUUUAAUGCCACCUCGCGCCUUAUUUGUCAGAUCCGUUCUUCUGUCUUAUCUCCUGUCUUUGAGAACUUCAAUUUUGAUUAGAUCGUUUUCCGAUCUAACCGUUGAGCAUGGCUUUACCUUUUUCUUCUUGGAGAUCGAUCUGUGGUUGAUGCAUCUUCAUAGCUCAGCUAGAUCAGUUACGGGGAAGUUUUAGCUCUAGCUGUUUCCGAUUUGCAUCAGAUCUGCGAACUUUGGAGCUCUUUGAUCUCAGGUGGCGAGAUCUAUGGACGUACGACUGGUUAAGGUCUCUUUGCCUGGCUGAUAUGUUUGUCUCUGAGCUUUUGUUUUUGUUUAUUUGGAGAUGACCAGCAGCUGUGAUGUUGGUGCCGAUAGUGAUUGAUCUCUCCAUGGAAGAGAGUUGGUGGUGGAUGGAUCCUGACCAAGCCGUGGUUGCGGAUAACUGGAAGAUUUGCGCCUUCCAAUCUGAUGAUCGAUGGUGAUGGUGGUCUUGAGUCAUUUCGUAAGAUCAUAAGGCGAAAAGGGUUCGUUUGUGGUUAUAUUAUAUGUGAAUCUGUUCGAUUAUGAUUUAUGAGGUAAUACGAUAGAAGUAGGAUGCUGGAUACCUGGGUGCGAAGGCUGAGGAGAUG